AUCCUGGAGCAGGUGAGGGGGGCGGGGCCUCCUCAGCAGGUGUCUGUGUUGGACCUCGGCUGUGGAAAAGGAGGAGAUCUGCAGAAGUGGAGGAGAGGAGGAAUCAAUCACCUGGUCUGUGCAGAUAUCGCUGGAGUGUCGGUGGAACAAUGUCAGAGUCGUUACGAAGACAUGAAGAAGAAAAGUCACAGCGAGAAAAUCUUCAGUGCUCAAUUUAUCAAUGCAGACUGUUCCAAGGAGGUUUUCUCAGAGAAGCUGGACAAUCCGGAGCUGAUGUUUGACAUCUGCAGCUGUUAGUUUGUUUCUCAUUCGAGAGCGAACAGAAGGCUGACAUGAUGCUGCGAAACGCAUGUGAGCGUCUGAAACCUGGCGGUUUCUUCAUCGGAACGACACCUGACGCUUUCGAACUUGUUAAACGCUUGGAGGCGUCGGACUCUCUGUCGUUUGGAAACAAACUCCCUAGGAAGGUGUUCC